rnacentral:rRNA from 1 species
UGUAUUUUGUAAAGUUGUUCUAGUUUUGUAACUAAAAUGGUUUGGCAGUGAGCGAUUCUUAUUAGGGGAAUAUGCAUAGUGAAGGAUGGUCCACCUAUUAGUUUACUCUUUUUAUGUUGGUGUAUGUCUGGUUUGAUAUUAUUGUUGAAUAAUUUAAGUUUGUGUAGUUUUAGUUAAGCUAAGUCUAUGUGCUGCUUAUUGGAGUUUUUGUGUGUUACAUUAAUAAGGGUGUUAUUGUAAGAUGAUGUGAUUUAGGA